GCCUACGGGGCGCAGCAGUAGGGAAUUUUCGUCAAUGGGCGCAAGCCUGAACGAGCAAUGCCGCGUGAACGAGGAAGGUCUUCGGAUCGUAAAGUUCUGUUGACGGGGAAAAAAGACCGGGAAAGGAAAUGAUCCCGGAGGAGAUAUUACCCGUCGAGGAAGUCACGGCUAACUACGUGCCAGCAGCCGCGGUAAUACGUAGGGGGCAAGCGUUAUCCGGAUUUACUGGGUGUAAAGGGAGCGUAGGUGGCAUGGUAAGCCAGAAGUGAAAACCCAGGGCUCAACUCUGUGGAUUGCUUUUGGAA
rnacentral:rRNA from 1 species